AAGUGCUUCGGUCAGGCAGUAUCUUUGAAAAUAAUUUGGCCAAUGAAAGCCCUGGCAUUGGAUGAAAGUGCUAGCUGCUGGGAAUGCUACCCCUCCUUUUGGUUCUCUUUCAAGUCCUUCAGGUUCAAACAAUACAGAAGUGUAUAAAGUAAGAAUUGAAAGUCUCUUCGCUGCUCUAAUCUCACUCCUCAGAGGUGAUCACUGAUUAUCAUCCCAGAGCCCUCCCUGAAGCCCACACACAGCUUCUUCAGGAAAUGCUGACAGCAUGGUAUACACAUGGCUUCCAUGUUUGUCAUGGUUCCAAAGUUUGCUUUUGAAAGAGUUUAAUUUCUUUCUUUCUUUCUUUCUUUCUUUCCUUUAUUGGCUAAACUCCCCCCACAGGACCUGAGUGAGCAGAAGGCUUUUCAGAAUUACAGCCUGAACUAUUUCUUGAGCAAUUUGGGAACUCAUUUCUAAAGCAGUCCUCAGAUUCACACAACGUAGUUUGUGACGGAGUAUGCCCAGAGCAGUGUUAUCACCAGUGCUUUCAGUAACUGCAUACUUAUAAAACAGCCAAACUUCAACCUGUGUUCAGUUUUUAUCUGUUUCUUGGGAAUGUAAUUUGGACAAAAAAGUUACCAAUGUAUUUACAACCAAAUUUCAGAUCUUCAACAUUACAGAGGCUGUCUUGUUGAUGGGGGUGCACCCUGACGAAUGGUGUGCUGGCAAAGAUUUAACAAAAGGCUCCAGAGGAGGGCAGACUUGAAGUGGAGCCUUCAGUGGGCAGUGUGAAGGGUGCUGAUUUCAAACAACUCAUCUGGUAUGACUGAACAUGAAGUUGGGAAGAGAUGUGCAUAAUUGAAGUGGGUGAGAGCCAGUCCAGCACCCUGCAGAGAGUGUGGAAGAUGAUCAAAGUAUGACAUUUCUUCUACCCCAGAGGCUGGCAUUUCUGCAGGCACAAAUGAGCUUGGUUUUCAAGCACUGCUCUUUGAACACAAGGAAUUCCUUUAAUGAUCACGCCGGACUAUAUAGACUUUGGAAUCA
rnacentral:lncRNA from 10 species